AGGCGCGCGGCUGCCCGAGCGCCGGCCGGGCCAUGACCCCCGCUGCUCUGUCUUGCAGGCUCGUCGCCGCGGCCCCCCGAGCCCGACCGCCGCCGCCACCACCACCAGCGCCCGGGCGGGCCUCGCGCGCCUCGGGCGCGGCUCCGCAGUGAGCCCACCAAGAAGGAAGCGGCCUGCAGAGGUGCCGACAUGGGGCUUAAGAUGUCCUGCCUGAAAGACGCCGGUUUUCAUCUGUGAUGCGGGGACAGCUGCGCUCCUUGCUGCGAGGCGUCAGGACCCAGCAGCAGCAGCAGCCACGACGAGGCCCCCGUCCUGAACGACAAGCACCUGGACGUGCCCGACAUCAUCAUCACGCCCCCCACCCCCACGGGCAUGAUGCUGCCGAGGGACUUGGGGAGCACAGUCUGGCUGGAUGAGACAGGGUCGUGCCCAGAUGAUGGAGAAAUCGACCCAGAAGCCUGAGGAGGUGUCCUGGGUUUGGCUGGCUGGCUCCUGCUCCAGCGGCCCGGCUUCAGGUGUCCGGGGGCGUGGCUGCCUGGAGCAGGUGUGCUGAAUACCCUGGAUGGGAACUGAGCGAACCCGGGCCUCCGCUCAGAGAGACGUGGCAGGACCAGCGAGGAAUCCAGCCUGUCCACUUCCAGAACAGUGUUUCCCAGGCCCCGCUGAGUGGACCGGACCUCUGACACCUCCAGGUUCUUGCUGACUCCGGCCUGGUGAAAGGGAGCGCCAUGGUCCUGGCUGUUGGGGUCCCAGGGAGAGGCUCUCUUCUGGACAAACACACCCUCCCAGCCCCCAGGGCUGUGCAAACACAUGCCCCUGCCAUAAGCACCAACAAGAACUUCUUGCAGGUGGAGUGGCUGUUUUUUAUAAGUUGUUUUACAGAUACGGAAACAGUCCAAAAUGGGAUUUAUAAUUUCUUUUUUGCAUUAUAAAUAAAGAUCCUCUGUAACAAA